UACAGAGGUCUCAAGCGUUGUCCGGAUGUACUGGGCGUAAAGAGCGCGCAGGCGGUCGAUUAAGUCGAAUGUGAAAGCCCCCGGCUCAACUGGGGAGGGUCAUUCGAUACUGAUCGACUUGAAGGCAGGAGAGGGUAGUGGAAUUCCCGGUGUAGUGGUGAAAUGCGUAGAUAUCGGGAGGAACACCAGUGGCGAAGGCGACUACCUGGCCUGUUCUUGACGCUGAGGCGCGAAAGCUGGGGGAGCAAACGGG
rnacentral:rRNA from 1 species